UGGGGAAUAUUGGACAAUGGGCGGAAGCCUGAUCCAGCAACGCCGCGUGAGGGAUGACGGCCUUCGGGUUGUAAACCUCUUUCAGCACAGACGAAGCGCAAGUGACGGUAUGUGCAGAAGAAGGACCGGCCAACUACGUGCCAGCAGCCGCGGUAAUACGUAGGGUCCGAGCGUUGUCCGGAAUUAUUGGGCGUAAAGGGCUCGUAGGCGGUUUGUCGCGUCGGGAGUGAAAACACCGGGCUUAACUCGGUGCUUGCUUUCGAUACGGGCAGACUAGAGGCAUUCAGGGGGUAGAACGGAAUUCCUGGUGUAGCGGUGAAAUGCGCAGAUAUCAGGAGGAACACCGGUGGCGAAGGCGGUUCUCUGGGAAUGUCCUGACGCUGAGGAGCGAAAGUGUGGGGAGCGAACAGGAUUAGAUACCCUGGUAGUCCACACCGUAAACGUUGGGCGCUAGGUGUGGGAUCCAUUCCACGGGUUCCGUGCCGCAGCUAACGCAUUAAGCGCCCCGCCU
rnacentral:rRNA from 1 species